ACUAUUCUGGAACUAUAUAUAUCACAACAGUUCUGCGGUACUUUAUAUUCAUACUUCUGUUUCCGUAACUGAGAACAACGGAAAAUCAUAGUAAUGGAAGCUUAUCUAGUUUACCUAAUGGUUUUGCUCGCAUUUCUAGCUAUUUUUGUAGUCGGUUCUGCAGCGGAUACGGGUAUGGCUGGUGCUUGGAGUGAAUCAGGUGCUAAGCAUGCUAAAGAUGCUAUGACUACUGGUGGAGGAUAGAAUCCAAAUCAGACUUCACUCUUUAGCGAAAUCCCCACAAUCCUGGACAUUCGCUAAGAGGCCCUGUUUAACAAACGAUUAUAAAAACGAAAUGCAAAUUUUAUAUCAGAAUUCAAAUAAAGCAAUCAUUAAGUGUA